rnacentral:lncRNA from 1 species
UGAUGUUUCAUUGUGUUUGAAAUUUUCACGCUUCAAACAAGUCGCUCUGUUUCUGCUGCUACUUUUUCAUUUAUAAUCAGUUAAUUUGCCAAUAAACGCAGAAAAUUUGGUGAAAAUGUGAAAAAAAGCUUGCUGCUCUUCCCGCUGGCCCUGCGGAAGGCUAAUUUGGCUGAGAUUUUACAAGUUAGCCAUCUCCUAGUGGACUGAAUCAACUGGAACCGGCCCUCAAUGUUCUCCGCCGUGAAAUCAUUUUGUUUCUUCGAAACAGGUUCAUCAAUCAACUCGGGAGUGCGAGAGCUCGAGCCUCGUUGCCGAGCCAUGGAUGGCGCCGCGAAAGUUCUCAAUUCUUGAAUGUUCUGCCCUGAAGGAUGCCCAACACAGGAAAAGAAAAUAAUUUGGAAAUAAAUAAUGCUGUGUGGAAACGCG